UUCGGUAUCCUUUGUUUGGCCAGGUCUUUUCCUCGUGCAAUACGUCUUGUACAAGAGGAGUAUGUGUAAAGCUAUCUUCAGGAAUUGAUUUCUGCGCAGUGCCUAGCUGUCCCUUGACUUUUCGUUACUCAAGUCAACUGAAUUUUUGCUACAUAAGUGUGGACAGCGGAAAGAAAUUCGCAGACGCUCAGGCCUAUUGUGAGACGCUGGGAUGUCGAUUAGCCGUCCCUCGAACUAUGGACCAUAUAAUGUAUUUAAAUUCAGAGUUUUCUAAUGGUUACUUGAACAACAAUAAAUACAGAAUAGGAGGACAGUGGAGCACUGAAG